rnacentral:rRNA from 1 species
UACAGAGGUGGCAAGCGUUGUUCGGAAUUACUGGGCGUAAAGGGCGCGUAGGCGGUUCGUUAAGUCCUGUGUGAAAUCCCCCGGCUCAACUGGGGAACUGCACAGGAAACUAGCGGGCUUGAGUUCGGGAGAGGGAAGCGGAAUUCCGAGUGUAGAGGUGAAAUUCGUAGAUAUUCGGAAGAACACCAGUGGCGAAGGCGACUUACUGGACACAUAUUGACGCUGAGGUGCGAAAGCGUGGGGAGCAAACAGG